rnacentral:rRNA from 1 species
GAUGAACGCUGGCGGCGUGCCUAAUACAUGCAAGUUGAGCGAACGGACGAGAAGCUUGCUUCUCUGAUGUUAGCGGCGGACGGGUGAGUAACACGUGGAUAACCUACCUAUAAGACUGGGAUAACUUCGGGAAACCGGAGCUAAUACCGGAUAAUAUUUUGAACCGCAUGGUUCAAAAGUGAAAGACGGUCUUGCUGUAACUUAUAGAUGUAUCCGCGCUGCAUUAGCUAGUUGGUAAGGUAACGGCUUACCAAGGCAACGAUGCAUAGCCGACCUGAGAGGGUGAGCGGCCACACUGGAACGGAGACACGGUCCAGACUCCUACGGGAGGCAGCAGUAGGGAAUCUUCCGCAAUGGGCGAAAGCCUGACGGAGCAACGCCGCGUGGGUGAUGAAGGUCUUCGGAUCGUAAAACUCUGUUAUUAGGGAGGAACAUAUGUGUAAGUAACUGUGCACAUCGUGACGGUACCUAAUCAGAAAGCCACGGCUAACUACGUG